AAAAAUUCAAAACCGAAAAUGUUUCGGUCAAAAGUGACCGAAGAGAGGUGUGUAUAUAAUGUGUGUGUGUGUGUGUGUGUGUGUGUGUGAAUGGGUGUGUUUAUGAAUGGGUGUGUUUUAGAGUGUCACCCCUUCACUGCUGUGUACUUUUUUUCAGCAUUGUGGAGGAAUUGUAGAUUGUACACACAAAAAUUCUCUGAAUAUUUGUAUUUUUGUCGAUUUCCCAUUCAUUUCCUGUGGUCGGUCAUUUUAGACCAAAGACCACAAGUUGUUUUUUUUUUUUUUUUGGAAUCGUGCCCUCAUUUUUUAUGUGUGUUCACAUUCCAAAUGCCAUAAAAGUCACUGAAUUUGGUACCGUUCUGAUGAAGCUGUGAUUUUUUGAAAAAUUCAAAACCGAAAAUGUUUCGGUCAAAAGUGACCGAAGAGAGGUGUGUAUAUAAUGUUUGUGUGUGUGUGUGUGUGUGUGUGUGUGAAUGGGUGUGUUUAUGAAUGGGUGUGUUUUAGAGUGUCACCCCUUCACUGCUGUGUACUUUUUUUCAGCAUUGUGGAGGAAUUGUAGAUUGUACACACAAAAAUUCUCUGAAUAUUUGUAUUUUUGUCGAUUUCCCAUUCAUUUCCUGUGGUCGGUCAUUUUAGACCAAAGAGCACAAGUUGUUUUUUUUUUUUUUUUU